rfam:Pseudomonas hussainii strain JCM 19513 genome assembly, contig: Ga0104663_107
CAUACCUCUUUUAUCACACAGAGAAAACUCUGGCCUGUUAUGUAAGGAGCCCAUCAUGGCACUGAGUGUUGAAGAAAAAGCGCAAAUCGUUAACGACUACAAGCAAGCUGAA